GGUUCGAUCUGGCUCAGAUUGAACGCUGGCGGCGGGGUCUUACAUACAGAGUCAGACGGCAGCACGGACGGUCUGGUGAGCGGCGAACGGGUGGUAAUGUAUCCGGAACGUGCCUAGUAGCGGGGAUAACUACGCGAAAGCGUGGCUAAUGCCGCAUACGCCCUUCGAAGGGGAAAGCAGGGGACCUUCGGGCCUCGCACUGGCAAACGGCCGAUAUCCGGAUUAGCUAGUUGGUGGGGUAACGGCUCACCAAGGGCGACGAUCCGUAGCUGGUUUGAGAGGACGACCAGCCACACUGGGACUGAGACACGGCCCAGACUCCUGCGGGGAGGCAGCAGUGGGGAAUUUUGGACAAUGGGGGAAACCUGAUCCAGCCAUCCCGCGUGUGCGAUGAAGGCCUUCUUCGGGUUGUAAACACUUUGGCAGGGAAAGAAACAGCACGGGAUAAUACCCCGUGCAACUGACGGUACCUGCAGAAUAAGCACCGGCUAACUACGUGCCAGCAGCCGCGGUAGCCUGCGUAAGUGCAAGCGUUAAUCGGAAUUACUGGGCGUAAAGCGUGCGCAGGCAGUUCGGAAAGAUGUGAAAUCCCAGAGCUUAGCUUUGGAACUGCAUUUUUUUAACUACCGAGCUAGAGUGUGUCAGAGGAGGUGGAAUUCCGCGUGUAGCAGUGAAAUGCGUAGAUAUGCGGAGGAACACCGAUGGCGAGGCAGCCUCCUGGGAUAACACUGACGCUCAUGCACGAAAGCGUGGGGAGCAAACGGGAUUAGAUACCCUGCGUAGUCCACGCCCUAAACGAUGUCUUUGCUUCUAUUUGGGGCCUUCGGGCCUUGGUAGCGCAGCUAACGCGUGAGAUUGACCGCCUGGGAAAUUACGGUCGCAAGAUUAAAACUCAAAGGAAUUGACGGGGACCCGCACCAAGCGGUGGAUGAUGUGGAUUAAUUCGAUGCAACGCGAAAAACCUUACCUACCCUUGACAUGUCUGGAAUCCCGAAGAGAUUUGGGAGUGCUCGCAAGAGAACCGGAACACAGGUGCUGCAUGGCUGUCGUCAGCUCGUGUCGUGAGAUGUUGGGUUAAGUCCCGCAACGAGCGCAACCCUUGUCAUUAGUUGCUACGAAGGGCACUCUAUUGAGACUGCCGGUGACAAACCGGAGGAAGGUGGGGAUGACGUCAAGUCCUCAUGGCCCUUAUGGGUAGGGCUUCACACAUCGCCACAAUGGUCGGGACAGAGGUCGCCAACCCGCGAGGGGAGCCAAUCCCAGAAACCCGAUCGUAGUCCGGAUCACCAGUCUGCAACUCGACUGCGUGAAGUCGGAAUCGCUGGUAAUCGCGGAUCAGCAUGUCCGCGGUGAAUACGUUCCCGGGUCUUGUACAUACCCGUCACACCAUGGGAGUGGGUUUUACCAGAAGUAGUUAGCCUAACCGUAAGGAGGGCGAUUACCACGGUAGGAUUCAUGACCAGGGUGAAGUCGUGACUGGGUAA
rnacentral:rRNA from 1 species